UACGGAGGGUGCAAGCGUUAUCCGGAUUCACUGGGUUUUAAAGGGUGCGUAGGCGGCGCGGUAAGUCGGGUGUGAAAUCUCGGAGCUUAACUCCGAAACUGCAUUCGAUACUGCCGUGCUUGAGGACUGGAGAGGAGACUGGAAUUUACGGUGUAGCGGUGAAAUGCGUAGAUAUCGUAAGGAAGACCAGUGGCGAAGGCGGGUCUCUGGACAGUUCCUUGACGCUGAGGCACGAAGGUCAGGGGGGAGCAAACGGG
rnacentral:rRNA from 1 species